CGAAUCGCAACCUUUACAAUUCUUCUUCUAUUAGAAUCAUAUUUAUUAUAUGAUUUGUAUAAUCUGUGUAAACGUAUUAAAAACUUAAGUCUCAAUAUUUCAUAUAUUUUCUAUCGAUGGUUCAUUUAUUUUAGAAUCAUAUCUAUUCUCAUUUCAGAAUAAACAUUCUUUAUUCAUUCAACAUUUCAAACUAUACAUAACUGCCAAUUACAUUUGACAAAACUAUCAAUCAUAGAUUUAUACCAUUUCUAAUUCAAGGAAAUGUAUUCAUUUUGCACAUCGUUCAAUCUUCAUCAUCCGUAUAACAAGUAAUAUUGCUUAACAUCAUUAACCUGCAAAAAGUUUGUGUUUGCAAGAUUGAGCUUGACAGCCCAACAAAUUUAACAGUCUAUCAUAUUUCACACAGCACACAAUUCCAUAUGCACUAUAUUUUCUUUACUAUGCAUAUCCGCAUGCAACAUAUAUUCUUUACUAUGCAUUUUCUACAUGCAUCAAUAAUUCCUUACAAAGCAUACAUUCAUGCAUUAUACAUUUCUAAUUUAUCGAGCUACAUCAUACAACAUGUGUUAUCACAUAUCACAUAUAAAUUGAGUUCCAUAAUCCAAUUAACUUAGUCAUAUUUUGACUUUAACAAUUCAUAAAGUAUGAUAUGUAACUCACCACAUAAUCUCAUUUAAUCUACAAACAUAAUAGAACUGAAAAACUUGUCUCGUUCAAUGACCAUUGAUACAAACUUUAAUUUAACUUCGCUUCACGAAUCCUACACAGUUAUGUUCACAUGUAUGCAUACACUAGCCACAUACUCCUGUAUAGAUAUUAAACAUUCAUAUACGUUAUAUCAGUAACUGAUAUUCUCAUUUCCAAGAAACUUCCAUAUUCUUUUUUUUCAAAUAUUUUAAGUUUCAGCUUAUUAUAGCUAUACAUUCUCAAAAAGUUCUAACACGACUUUUAAAUAAUUGUCUUCACAUACAAAACAUAUUAGUUAUGUGUCCAUGUCAUAUAACAUGUAUAGUUAUAUAUUAAAUAUCCAUAUUGGUCAUAUCAUUAACUUUUAAUUCUCGUUUUUGAAAACUUCUUAUAUUCUUUUCAAAAACGUUUAUUCUUUUACUCACGAUAGUCUUUUAUCGCUUUAACAACACUUGACAUGAUUUUAGUUCAUGAAUAUCUCACACUUUCAUUUUAUAAUUCUCUUGUAUCGUAUUACAUGGGUAUUCCAUACUUUUUAUACAUACUUUAUGUAUUCAAGGUGAAUUCGAAACUCAUUUUGUGCUUUGAGUGUAAUUAUAACUUGUAUGGACAACGUAUAGCUUUCGUAAUACUUUAUAGUUCCAAUUAAGUCCACUAAUGCUUUAAAUAUUGUUGUUUUUCAUCAUAUUGACAAAACAGCCCCUUCGAGGCAUUAGCAGUUUCAAACUUGGCUUAACAUCCCCAAUUUAGAUACACAAUAUCUCUACUAGACUUUAACUUAUAGAUUACUAACUCAAUGGUAUUAAACUGUAGGUAGGUUGUAGAUUUUAUACACAUGUCCAUUUAAAGAUAACAAACUCAAACUUUUUGGGUAAACUAUUGAACUAAAUUUCGAAGCCAAGAUGGCUCUUCAACGCUGCUGUAGCAGCUUCUUGUUGCUGUCUACUGUUGUUCGCUGCUGCCUAAUGGCAGCAACUCUUUCCCUUGCCCCAAACCUCAUGCAAAUUUUAGUUCCUAGUUUAAUAAUCCACUCACAAUUAACUCUUAAUAAAUUAUAGAUGGUACACCCACCUAUUAAAAUAGCUAACAAUCUGCAGUACUAUAUAAUAUAUAUGAACCCAAUUGCUUUCCAAAUUUGCUCCUUGUUGCUAACUGCUACUGCCAAUGGGCAACAACCCCUUCUUUUUCUCUUGUUUUGCUAGCUUUUCGCUCCUCACGACUUUGAUCUAUUCAUAUGGAAUUUUGAUAUUAUGUAGGUGAUAUACUUAGCUAUUAUAGUAAAACAUUAGCCGUGCAUCUUAAGCAAUUAAAGUUUGUUGGCUGAGAGCCCAAGGAAAACCCCCAGCCAUUGCCAAACAUCACCACUGCUGCUGCCAUGGGAAGCAGCUCUGUUUUCAACGUGCCCAUUUUGCGACCUCAUUACUUCUAGCUCGUAUAUUGGAUUACAACGAAUUUUAAAUAUGUUAUAUAUAGUAUAUGAGACUAUUUUUAAAAAAUACGAGUCACCCAAUUCGGGUUCAUUAGGCAGCCCAAAUAAUGCGUCAAAAAUAGACGUUCAUAACAGUUUCAAUUUCUUCCUAGCUGUACCCUCUCUCGCUAAAACAGUCAUAACUUUUUCGUUUUAAAACAUUUUUAGGCGAUUCUCGAGCCCACGCGAAGCUAACUUCCAGGACUACAAUUUUCAUUCUUUGACAAUUUUCAAAUUCAAAACACAGAAUCCCAGAAAAUUCGUGCAAGGUGACUGCCCCGAGUUGGUUAGACAGUUUUGACGCGACUACUUUGAACGGUCAUAACUCUUUGCUCCGAAAUCGGAAGUAGUACGUUCCAGAGUCUAUGGAAAGCUUAUUCAAUGUACUAUAAUACCCCGAAAGCCCAGAAUUUUCUGGAAACUCUAGCUAGCCCCGAAUUUUUCCUUAGGGUCAGAAGUUCACAAUUUUUCGGUUUCUAACAUGUUUAUUUCGCGUAGUUUAAUUUCUUACAUCUUCGAUUCAUUUGUAUUAAGUUUUGGAUAUAUAUAUAUAUAUAUAUAUAUAUAUAUAUAUAUAUAUAUAUAUAUAGGUUUUAUACUCACCUAUUUUAGAAACAUACCAGUUCAACAUUUUGAAUCAUUAAACUCGUUGACUGAGAGCUUAAAGAAGCCCCCAGCCAUCCGCCCUGCAGCGUGAUGCUGCCUACUGCUAUGAGCAGCAGCGUUUUGGACAUCAUGGCCACUUUACAACUUUUUAACUUCUAGCUCAUAUGCCGGAUUAAAACCAAUUUUAAAUAUGUUAUAUAUAGCAUAUGAUACUAUUUUUAGAAACUAUAAGCUCCCCAUUUUGGACUCUUUAAGUUACCCAAAAUUGUGCUCAAAAAUAGCUUGACAUACUAACUUUCAACUUUUUCGUUUUGGCUUAAAAUCGCAUUUUGUUUUAAUUUACUUUGCCCAAACCCUUUAAUCAUCUUCAUAUAGUGUAAAUAUACAUUACCUUAGCCUCGGAUUUGCUUAAUAUUUGGAUUUUAACUGAAACAGUCCGUAUAGGACUUUUAUCAAGCACUUGGUGUGCACUUUCUUAAAACGCAUAUUUCAUGGUGUUUGGUCUAUGUUCUAGCCCAAUUUUUGCCACCUUAUUACUCCGCACAACCAAUCAUACUUUCAAACAUUGACCCAAUUCCAUUCCUUUAGUUUCUAAAACAUGUUUUACAUUAUAAAUUCCAUUUCCAUAGCUUGAUCGUUACAUAAAUGAUCCUUAACCAACUGUUUUCACAGUUAAUUCCAAUUCCAACCAACUAAUUUCACAUUAAAAUUACUAACUCUCUAUGCUAAAUACUCAAAUUCCAUAUUUGCAAAUAUAUAUAUAGAAUAAGUUGUAUACCUUGUAUGCUUGAUUCUUGGAUUAUAAUUGAUCGAUUGGGAUUUGAAUGUUGGAAGGAAUAGCGUUGUUGAGACUUAUUUCUGGACAUGGGAGCUCGGCACAGGAAGAGGAGAAAUAUGGGAGAAUUCGACUAGUAGAGGAAAAAGAAGGCUAGGAUGCUAAAAUUUAUAAUCCCAAUUUUCUUGUCCCCCAAUCUUUCAACACUGUUUGGCUUGGGUUUCUAUUUUAUUUACUCUCAUUUAAUUAAUAUAGCUUUCUUUAGGAAUACAUAGAAUAUAUAAUUGCUAUUAUAUAUAUUAUGUAUUACCCUCUACAUAAAAAACAUAACAUUUAUAAAUAUAAUAUGUUUUUACCUUGUAUUCGCAAAAAUGUAUGUUACAUAUUAUUUCCAUAUAAAUGAAAAUUUACUCAAUUAACUAAGAUAUUAUAUUUAAUAUAAUAUCUUUGCUUUAUUAGAAUAAUUUCAAGCUAGAAUUUAUUUAAUUACUUAACCCUCUCUUUAAUAACUUAAGUUUAUUUAGUAAGUUAUUAUUUAAACAAAUUAUCCUUCUUAUUAUUCUUUUCUUCUUGGCAAUACAUAAAUUAUAUAUCAAUUAUGUAUUUCACCAUAAAACAUAAUACAAUUUAUUAAUAUUAUGAUUCUACUUUGUUUACGCAAAAUAAAUGUUUUACAUAAUUUCCCACAUAAAAGAAAUUAUACAUUUACUUAAGAUAUUAUAUUAAUUAUAAUAUCCUUACCUCGUAAAAAAAUUAUUCCUUGCAAGAAUUUACUUUAAUAUUCUUGGGUAAAGUAUAUAUAAAUAUUAUAUGCUUAACCCGCCUCUUUUUUCCUCAUUACGCAAAUUGUUCCCACAAUUUUAUUUCACUGCGUAAUAUAUAUUUAUUAACUCCCCAUUACCUAAUUUAAUAACUUGUUUAAAUUAUACAAUCUAUAUUGUAUAAUUAAAUUUAAUUUCCUCCUUUCCAUAUAUUGUUUUCAAACAAUUUAUUUGUAUACUAAAUACAUAAUUUAAUAUAUUUAAUUUAUUCAAAUAUGAAUUUAAUUUACUAACUAGUUGAUACAAAUAUACAUAUUUUAUAUAUUGGAUCUCAUAUCAUAUUUUUACUUUACAUCGUUUGGUAUAAUAUUAAAUAUUAUACCAUUAUCCAUGUAACAUAAUAUCAUAUAUCCAAUUAUUUUCUUCCCUUUCUAUAAAUUGCUUUCACAAUUUAUUUAACUGUGGUAAAUAUAUUAAUAUAUUCACUGCAUUAAAUACAUGCAUACAUUACACUCAAUAGUGUAAUAUAUGAUUUCUUCAAUAAAAUAGUGGUUAUACAUGAAGUAUAUUUAAUGCCACCAAUCUAUCAUAUUAAAAUAAUUUAAUAUUAUAAAUUAUUUUAAUUCUACCCAUCUUAUUUUCUUUAAUAAAUUAUCCCUAUAAUUUAUUUACAUAUAAUAAAUAUAUAAUACCAAUAUAUUUAUUAAACAUAAACAUCACAUAUUGCAUAGUUCAUACCCACUUAUGCAAUAUAAUAUCAUACAACAUAUUAUCUAAUAAGAAUUUUAUUUAUUUAAUUCUUAUUUUAAUAUUACCCAAAAAUUUAGGUUAUCACAAUGUCUCAUUAGACGGUUAAUACUUGAAAGAACAUGUAACGAUAUACAAGUUGCAUGAGGAUGCCUGAUUUAGCCGUGUAAGAGUAACUUAUAAAAUAAGACACUUAUUUUUUCUCCUCGCAAAAUAUAAGUGCUCCCUCCAUCUCAGGAGAAAUGUUCAGCAUUUGAUUUUUAUGGUCAAAAUGAUUAUUAUUAAAUUAAUAAUUAAGCAUAUACGUUUAGAAUUUUAAAAUCCCAAAUCUUGAUGUUAGUACUAAAUUAUGUGUAGUUUAUAAUAUUCAUAGUCUCUUUGCAUGUAUCUAAGAGAUUAAUACGAUUCAUUUUUAAAAAUGGUCGAUUUGACCAUGAAAAACAACAGAGGACAUUUAUCAUGGGAAACAGGAAGAAGAAAAAUCAGUAAUCCACCCCUUCAUGUUAUUCAACAACCUCAUGUAAAUUUGGUCAGAACACUGUCAUUACCAUCCUAUGCUGCCUGACAUAGGAACAAUGGUGUCAAAACUCAAAACUUCAACAAACAGUGAUGCAUUAUUGUUCCAUUUCCUUUAAAAAAGUCUAUUUGUUUAUUUUCAUAAGAAGAAUUUCAGUACAUUGAACAAAUGGAUCAAAAAUCAGACAAAUGGAUCAUAGAAUAUAUUGUGUUAUAUUAUAGAACAAAAGCAACACUAGAGCUGCUUGACAUUGUGCAUAUAGACAUACUGUUUCAGUAAUGAACUCUUUAAAAUACUCACAUAUAUAUUAACGUAAAAAGGUAAUCAAGAGAAAAGAUCUCAUACCUGAAACACACCCAUCUCUGUCAAGAAAUCCGUUGUCGGCCACACGGAAAAAUCAAACAAAAAUUGCUUAGUAUUACUCUAGUAUCAAUUAACCAAAAUCAGAGAAUAACCCUAGAUCAGAAGUAAUUAAGAUAAAAUUGCACUAAAUCAGCAAUAAACCUUUAUGGUACCAAAAACAAUUUACAAAGAAAUUAAACAAGCCUGUAAAUUUGGAUAAGCCCAAAAUAGCUCAAGAACACAGCAACAAAUAAAAUCACAAAUAGUUCAUAAAAACCAUAUUGUUCUAUGGAACUUUGCAAGUGUCGGUCAUCUAAGAACCUGAGAAUGAAGAGAAGAGGUAAAUCAUCAUAAACCACAAUUCAACAAUAAACAAUAAACACCCAAAGUUUAGAGAGAAUCGAAUGAUUUACAGAAUACAUGAGAAUCGAUUGAUUUACCUGAGAAUCGAUUAUUCUACAUCCAGGUUACAUGCAAUACUUGAAAAUCGAUUGGUUUGAGAAUAGAUUCAACAAUAAACACACAAAGUUUAUAGAGAAUUGAUUGAUUUACAGAAUACCUGAGAAUCGAUUGUUCUAUAUCUGGGUUACAUGUAAUACCUGAGAAUCGAUUGAUUUUAGAAUAGAUUGAUAUGUUGCAGAUUAGAGAGAAUGAAAGAUCGAAGAAACAUAUUAGAGCUUUGGGCGGGAGUGGGAAAAAAGAAAGAAGGAAGAAUACUCAGUCUGAAAGAAGAAGAAUUCUG
rnacentral:lncRNA from 1 species